UCGCCUGUUUUUCCAAAAACAUCGCCUCUUGAUUAAACAUAAGAGGUCCAGCCUGCCCAGUGACAUAGUUUAACGGCCGCGGUACCCUAACCGUGCGAAGGUAGCAUAAUCACUUGUUCUUUAAAUAGGGACUCGUAUCAACGGCAUCACGAGGGCUAUACUGUCUCCUUUCUCCAAUCAAUGAAACUGAUCUCCCCGUGAAGAAGCGGGGAUUAACCUAUAAGACGAGAAGACCCCAUGGAGCUUCAAACUCAACAUAUACCUCUACGCACUUAAACCACUUUAGCCCAAGAGACCUCUAUGUUAGUUUUGGGUUGGGGGGACCGCGGAGUAAAAAUUAACCUCCACGACAAACGGGCUUUAUGCCCUUAUCCACGAACCACAGCUCUAAGAAUCAAUAAACUGAUGUUUAUGACCCGAUUAUUCGAUCAACGAACCAAGUUACCCUGGGGAUAACAGCGCAAUCUACUUCAAGAGCCCCUAUCGACAAGUAGGUUUACGACCUCGAUGUUGGAUCAGGGUAUCCUAGUGGUGCAGCCGCUACUAAUGGUUCGUUUGUUCAACGAUUAAAACCCUACGUGAUCUGAGUUCCAAAACCGGA
rnacentral:rRNA from 1 species